GGGCCUGGAAUGUGGGCAGCCAACAAACAGUUGAUGCAAAAUUGAUUAUAUCAAAUAAAAUUCUAGGUAGAUUUUUGAUAAUGACAUUGCUUACCUAAGUCUUGACCAAAUUACGUGCCAGCAGUCGCGGUAAUACGUAAAAGACUAGUGUUAUUCAUCUUUAAUUGGUUUAAAGGGUACCUAGACAGCGAAUAAAGCCAUAGGAGGGACUAAUUCGCUAGAGUUACUUAUGAGGGGGUAUUAAAGUACUGCAGGUGUAAAGAUGAAAUUUUGUUAUACCUCUUUUCGUAUGAGAAACUAUGGCACAGGUAUAGGUGAAAGCAUCCCCUUAUGUGAUAACUGACGUUGAGGGACGAAGGCUUUGUGUCGCGAACAGGAUUAGAUACCCCAAUAGUCAAAGCAGAAAAUGAUGAAUGUCAUAGAUUAGAUCUGCAAUUUAUUCUAUAAAGGAAAGUGUAAGCAUUCCACCUCAAGAGUAAUUUGGCAACAUUGGAACUGAAAUCAUUAGACCGUUUCUGAAACCAGUAGUGAAGUAUGUUGUUUAAUUUGAUGAUACACAAAAAACCUUACCACAAUUUGAAUAUUUAUAUUUAUCUUUUAUUGAUUUCUACUAACAUAUUUGUAGACAAUUAAAAUGAUGCUUAUGUCCCAUUUAUGUGACUAAGCAUCAAAAAAGAUAAUAUAUUUACAAGCGUUGGCACGGGCUGUCUUCAGUUAAUGUCCGCGAGAUUUUUGGGUUAGUUCCAUUAAAUUAACGGAAAACCCCUCCACUUUAAUUUAUAUAAUAAAAG
rnacentral:rRNA from 1 species